rnacentral:rRNA from 1 species
AGCAGCCGCGGUAAUUCCAGCUCCAAUAGCGUAUAUUAAAGUUGUUGCAGUUAAAAAGCUCGUAGUUGAAUUUCGGGAUCAAGGAAUCGGUCAUGCCUUGGUAUGUACUGGUUUUAUUAGUUCUCACCUUCUAAAGAACCAUAAUGUCAUUCAUUUGAUGUUAUGGGGAAUUAGGACUGUUACCUUGAAAAAAUUAGAGUGUUUAAAGCAGGCUUACGCUUGAAUACAUUAGCAUGGAAUAAUGAAAUAGGACAUCAGAUUCUAUUUUGUUGGUUUCUAGGAUCGAUGUAAUGAUUAAUAGGGAUAGUUGGGGCAUUAGUAUUCAAUUGUCAGAGGUGAAAUUCUUGGAUUUAUUGAAGACUAACUACUGCGAAAGCAUUUGCCAAGGAUGUUUUCAUUAAUCAAGAACGAAAGUUAGGGGAUCGAAGACGAUCAGAUACCGUCGUAGUCUUAACCAUAAACUAUGCCGACUAGGGAUCGGAUGAUGUUAAUUUUAUAAUGACUC